CUGUCAACUGCAUAGAAAGGCAGUGAAGGCCUUUUGGCGUGGUCCUUGCAGCAAGCCUAAUAAGAAACAUUGUUUGAUUCUUCUGUGCUUGAACUUGUUCUUCAGCACCGUAAGUCAUGGCACGGAGCUUUGUGACCAUGGCGGAGCAAUGCGGGAAAAUACGACUGGCUUUAGACAAGGAAACCUCCAUGGACUUCAUUUUCUUUAGUGCACUCCUUGAUAAAUCUGCAUCCCACAUAACUUCCCCC
rnacentral:misc_RNA from 1 species